rnacentral:rRNA from 1 species
UACGUAGGGUGCAAGCGUUAAUCGGAAUUACUGGGCGUAAAGCGUGCGCAGGCGGUUUUGUAAGUCUGUCGUGAAAUCCCCGGGCUCAACCUGGGAAUUGCGAUGGAGACUGCAAGGCUAGAAUCUGGCAGAGGGGGGUAGAAUUCCACGUGUAGCAGUGAAAUGCGUAGAGAUGUGGAGGAACACCGAUAGCGAAGGCAGCCCCCUGGGUCAAGAUUGACGCUCAUGCACGAAAGCGUGGGGAGCAAACAGG